rnacentral:tRNA from 1 species
CGGCACCGGGCGCGCCCGGGACGCGGGUGCUGUGGGACACCGGGUGGUCGCUGGUUCAAAUCCGGCAGGGCCCA